UCCCCAAGGAAAACAGGUAUUUCUGUCAGAAAGGAGAAGGGAUACCGGGCAGGUAAAAACAGUAGAUAAAGCUGUCUGUUCAGGGCUGGUGUACUGGGUUUUAAUGAGAAGGAUGGGCUUGGGGGAGCUGACAUGACUGUUGUGUCAAGUCUUUGCCAAUCCAACAGCAAGGAGGGGAGGGAUAUGACCAGGGGAAGACACUGUCUUACCUGGCUUCACCCAGGAAAAGUCA